UACGUAGGGGCAAGCGUUGUCCGGAAUCAUUGGGCGUAAGCGCGUGUAGGCGGCUCGGUAAGUCUGCUCUGAAAGCCUGGGGCUCAACCCUGGGAGGCGGGUGGAUACUGCUGAGCUCGAGUCCGGAAGAGGCGAGUGGAAUUCCUGUGUAGCGGUGAAAUGCGCAGAUAUCAGGAGGAACACCGAUUGCGAAGGCAGCUCGCUGGGACGUAACUGACGCUGAGACGACGAAAGCCGUGGGGAGCAAACAGG
rnacentral:rRNA from 1 species